UUGAGAAGUUAUUUUCUGUUUUCUUCUAUCUCUUGUAUUUACUUGAUUCAAUCGGGGGAUUGAAUCAAGGGGUUUAAGGUUGGUUGGUGAGCCAAGUUAAAACCAACGUGUGUAAGGGUUUGAUUGUGAGCCCGGGAAAACAAUCGGGGUUGGUUCUAGUCGGUGAGCCUGGGAAAACCGACCGAGUUCGUUGUGAGCUCGUAAAACAACAAGUUUGGUUGUGAGCUUGCAAAACAACCGGCUGUAAUCCAAGGGGGUUAUAGUGAAAUUCUCAAGUGAGACUUGGAGAGUGGACGUAGGAGCAAGGGUUAGCUCCGAACCACUAUAAAACUUUGUGUUUGUAGUGCAUUGUCUCUCAUCUUCUUCCCCGCACAUUACUCACAGCACUAGGCUUUAAUUAAAUAACUUGCUAUAGUUUUUAAUUAAUCAUCCACAAAGUUUUAAUUAGCCAAAUUAUUUUAAAAACCCAAUUCACCCCCCCUCUUGGGUUGUCUAUCUGGGCAACA
rnacentral:lncRNA from 1 species